GCCCCGUUAGCUCAGUGGUAGAGCAUUAGGCUUUUAACCUAAGGGUCGUGGGUUCGAUACCCCCACGGGGCG
rfam:Ordospora colligata OC4 contig_08, whole genome shotgun sequence.